UUUUAUGGAGAGUUUGAUCCUGGCUCAGGAUGAACGCUGGCGGCGUGCCUAAUACAUGCAAGUCGAGCGAACAGAUAAGGAGCUUGCUCCUUUGACGUUAGCGGCGGACGGGUGAGUAACACGUGGGUAACCUACCUAUAAGACUGGA
rnacentral:rRNA from 1 species